ACUUUCCUGACGCCUUUCAUGUCGUCGGAAGUGUGGAAGCCACAAAUUUCAUUGCUGAACACUUUCUCAAAAUUCGUCAUUAUCAAAGAUAAGAAGGAGGAGUUUGUCGUCCGGUAUUCGUAUGAUGGAACCGCCAAUUUAUUAGUAGCUGGCGUUUUUGACGUCACGUGUGACCCCAACGUGAAGUACUUUCCCUUUGAUUCUCACGAGUGCGUUUUGUUGUUCAUCCCUUUCGAAAGUUUUCUCUUCCCCGAAUAUGCAUCACCUUUAACAAUGUACAUUAUGAAAGACUCUAUCAUCAAGGAUAAUUUUGCUGACCGAGAUGACGACGGUAAGUGGAUUUAUAAGACAAUGAACCCGUGCAUUGUGAAACUUCCCAGUCGACAGUUAAAUACCGUAGCGUUCCCCGUCAUCAUUCACAGACGGCCGACAUUUGCAAUUGUGAAUAUCAUACUUCCGGUGAUGCUGCUAGGUUUCCUUAAUUUAACAGUUUUCUUUCAGCCAAUUCAAGCUGGAGAAAGAAUAUCGUUUUCUAUUACGGUUCUGUUGUCUUUCACAGUGUUCAUGGUUUAUAUCGGGGAAAUAAUCCCUGAAACGUCAAAUCCCAUGCCUCUUCUUAGCUACGUUCUUGUUUUUAAACUCGGAUGCAGCACUUGCAUAGUGAUAGCAGUUACCUUGGUAACGCAAUUCUUUCAUCGAAAAAACAGGAAAGUUGCCCCUUGGGUCCACAAAAUGCUAGGGCUAUUUUCUUGCAAAAGUCGAGCAGACGACUGUACUCGUGAAAGAGAAGCAGACGAUUUAUCUAAUAUAGCAGACGGUAAUACUGAGUCGCAUGACUAUCAUGACGCCAUCAGAGAGGACGCAGGAGAGUUGCACGAACCGACCGACGACGUGGGCAAACUGUGUUCCGCUUUAAACAAACUUCUGUUUUUAUUUUUCUUUUCUCUUUUGCUCGUCGAGUCUGUUUUCUACGUCAUCGCUUAUAUAGUAAUGACGGCGGACAAAAAUAGCAGACAUUUAGAAUCGCAGACAUGCACAACAGGACUUGAAUAGAGUUGUUUAAAAUGUAUAAAACUACUAUUUAUAUUGAACAUUGUAUUUCAAUCGUGAUUCAGAUUUUAAUAUGUAGCUUUAUUUAUCGGAGCUGACGAAGUGGUACCACGGAAAACAUACAAAAAACAGAGUGUUCUUUAGAAACUUUUAUGGGCAUUGCAUUAUUUUCCACUGACUCAUUCUGGACAUUGACAGAGGGACUUGGCCAAUACAAACAUGAUAUCAUCAAUAAAUUGCUUAUAUAAAUUAGAUGACAAAUACAUCAUUAAUUUUAUGUAUACAUCAAUAUGGUAUCCCUAUAAUAACUUUGUUCUAUUGAAUGAAGUAGCAAUCAAUUACAAUUUGUGAAACCUC
rnacentral:misc_RNA from 1 species